GCGGGCGAGCCCGGUUCCCAGGAGCCCGACGCUUGAGUCUUGAGUUUCUGCUGGGGGUUACCCAGCUCGAACGCCGCGAGGAGCUUGUCACCUAGGAGCUUAAGCUUUUCACCGGAGGAGAGGAGCUGUGCGCUUUUUGAGCACCCUUGAUGUGUAACCGAAAAGACUGACCUUUAAAGUAGCCAUUUCACCUUGCAUCCUGCAAGCUUUUUUCUCUGAGCUUCACCCUCCAGCCGGUAGUCACCGCGAUCGCUGCGGUUCCGUGCUCUUUCCCUACUCAUGGGGCCUCUGACUUUUUUGUUUUGUCCCCAACACACACCUCGCAGUGUGUCAGAACAGCUCCAGAUACAUAUAGCUCUAAUUCUCAGUGUUUACUUUCACAGGCAUCAUCAUUAGGAUGCAGAACUCUCAGCUACUUCUCCAGCACCAGGUCUACCUGUGAACCACUAUGUUCCCUGCCAAGAUGCCCAUGGACCAAGCUUCUGAGACUGUAAGCAAGCCCCCAAUUAAAUGCUUUCUUUGAUAAAAAUUGCCUUGGUUAUGGUGUCUCUUCACAGCCUUAGAACAGUGACAAGAACAUGGCAUACUGUCGUAAAUUAAGAUUACCUGUACACAGACUUUUAACUAUCAAUCUUUUCUGUUCCAAGUUUGUUGGUUUGUUUCAGUUUUUUGGUUUUGGGAGACAGGGUUUCUCUGUGUAGCCCUAGCUGUCCUGGAACUCUCUCUGUAGAGCAGGCUUGCCUCGAAUUCAGAGAUCUACCUGCCCCUGUCUCCCAGUGCUGGACUUUGUUACAAGUUUUAAGCAGACCUUUUUUCUUGGAAUUUUACAGCUACCCCUACCACCUGAACCACCACACACACACACACACACACACACACACACACACACACACACACACACACACACACACACACACACCUUCCUCAGGCUGCCAUGAUCUUAACAGAUCCUGAAAGUUUACAUUUCAGCAAAAGCUUUAAAAGAGAGGGAAGUACUCACAGAGCUAAACCACCUGCAAUUACAUAAACAUCUUUUAACCUCUUAGCUGUUUUUAUGUGCACAAGGCUCCCUCCUCCCGCCCCUCCAAGUCAGGGAGCAGCUUGGAUUUGAAAGAUGUGUGUGUGUGUGUGUGUGUGUGUGUGUGUGUGUGUGUGUGUAACAUACCCAAAAGAUGUUUGUUUCUCUAUAACUGAAAAGUAGAAACAAAAGCAAGCAGCCCCAGGCUUGUUGGUGCAGAAACAAAGAGCACAGACCUAGGGCAAGAGAAUCCCAAGCACACAGCCAGUGAGACUUCAUGGGCAGACCCCCAUCCAUACAGCAGGAGCUGAGCCGACUAGGUUUGGGCUCUCAGCAAAACUGUGUGCAGGAGCUGAAUGAUGGGGAUGAGAGGGGUUGAGAUCAGGCUGAGGGGUGGAGAGCUGGGAGAGCAGAAGAAAAGGCUGGGAAGGAGGGACCAAGUGAGGAGAGGCAUGGAGCCUGGGAGGGAAAGGAAGAGGCGGCCAGGGAGUCCUCAGACAAAAGGAUCCGAAGCCAGUUUCCUGGAACCAUCAAUAUAAUCCUGGAAAGGAAUUAGCACAACUCCUGGACCAAAGGAGACAAGGGCAGCAGAUCACUCCCUAAAAGGUGAAGCACAUACCCCAAGUUGGCUUCUGGUCACCACUAAGUCAAAGUGAGCCUGGAGAACAGACAGACCAGCUCUCUUUCCCUGAGACAGAACCAAAGGAGACAAGACAGAAACACUAAUAACAAAAACUCUACCCUCUGGGCAGAAAUCUGUCCAGAAUGCAUCCAGUCACUUACACAGUCUGGCCAGCCAGCCAUUCAAAAUCCAGGUCUCCCAAACACUCAUGGAAGGCAAAAUCAGAAUCCUAGGUCCCAAUAUAGUAUGAGAGGGCAAGGGAUGGCUUCUUGUCAGGGGUUUCCUACCCAGACCUUAAGAGGGCUCCUCAGGAGGCCUGGCCUUCUUAGACCUUAAGGCUCCUCAGGAAGCCUGGCCUUCUCAACCAGAACUGAAUUUGGUACACAAACUUAAUUCAGAACCAGAAGGACUCAAUCUGUUUUGUCUGGGAGUACAGCGGACAUUACAGCCAUCUCUGGACUCAGUGUGAGGCACGGAAUGUCUUCAGCCACCAACUCCCACCCCUACAUCCUCUCCCCCUAGCUGGGAAGGUCUGGAAUGAGGCUAAGUCCUGUGGGGAGAGGGCAAUUUCCCUGGGGCUUCUCAUAGUUCAAAUGAGAAAGUUACAGACUAUCACACAUAAUAAGGCCAAAUUUAGAGUCCUUCAUUAGCCAACGACCAAGGACAGGCCCUUGCCCCAAAGAGGCUCUGAGCACGGAAGCUCAGGGUACAGCAUUUCUAAUGACAACAUCCAUGACAUUAUUGCCAGUCAAGGGAACCAGGUAACGUUUGUUUUGGCAAUACGUUCAGCAGGUAUUUUGUUUAUUCAUCUGGUCAGAGGAAGUUCCUCAGUGCGCUGCCAAGGUGGAUGUGACUGUUUAGUGGGCAAGACGGCACGACUUGAGUCGCUUCAGGAAGGAGUCCAGACAACACAGGAACACUGGCACACUGCAGCAACUCUGGUUUGCUGUCACCAGCGGUGGGGAGGGAGGCGACAGGAGAGCCAGGCCUUCUCCUGGAGCUCCGAAGGCGUUUUCUUUUUUUGAGACAGCAGCUCACUAUGUAGAUCUGGCUGUCCAGGAACUCAGAUGCACCUGCCUCUGCCCCCAAGUGCUGGGAUUAAAGGCGUGCACUACUCCACCUUGCUUCUGAAGGGCUUUUCACCUGGAGAAGAGCUACUUGGAUGUCACAAGUAGCAAGAAGUGGAAUAAGCAAAGACAAACAAUUGGUUGGAAUGUCAGGCUGGAAGUUGAAAGAGCUCCAGCUGCAGUACAGUCAGAGGCAAAGGGAAGAUGGGUGUCCAGAAGUUACACUCAAUGGAUGACUAGGUGGGAAUGGAUGGAGUAUAAAGACGUGCUAAGGAAUGACCCUUCUCUACACUGUGAAUGUGUGUGUUGCUAUCACUGGUUGAUAAUAAAGCUGUUUUGAUCUAUGGCAAGGCAGGAUAAAGUUAGACAAUCAAACUGAGGACUGGGAUGAAGAAGGGCAGAAUUGAGACUCAAGCCAGCUGCCCAAGGAACAAGAUGCCAGAGGAUAAGCCACGGACCACAUGGCAAUAAAUAGAUUAAUAGAAAUGGGUUAAUUUAAAUGUAAGAGCUAGUUAGUAAUAAGUCUGAGCCAUCGGCCAAGCAUUUAUAAUUAAUAUAAACCUCUGUGUGGUAAUUUGGGAAGUGGUUGCCAGGUAUUUGGGAUUGGGUGGACAGGACAGAAUGUUCUGCCUUAUGGUGAUAUUUUAUUUGUACUGAAAUAAAAUUUUAUUUGUAUGUUAAUAAAUAAAGUUGCCUGGGGGUCAGAGCUAAUAGCAAGCCAUAGCAGAAGCUGGGUGGUGGUGGUGCACGCCUUUAAUCCCAGCACUUGGGAGGCAGAGCUAGGCGGAUCUCUGUGUGUUCAAGGAUACAGCCAACAUGGAGACACAUGCCUUUAAUCUCAAUACCAACCAUAGAAGACCUGGAGGUCUGUACAGACAGGCAGUGACGAAGAGGUCAUGUGGUUGGGUUUACAACCAAUGAGAAGGCAGAAUAGAAAGUCAAUAAAAAGGACAAACACACAGAAAGUCAGUUUCUUGCUGAGGAGGACAGAAGCAGCAGCGAAGGGUAAGAUUUUUAGCUCUUAGCUAUUGCUCUGACCUCUUGGGCUUUUAUCUCUG